rnacentral:rRNA from 1 species
UGGCCGCGGUAUUUUGACCGUGCGAAGGUAGCAUAAUAAUUAGUCUAUUAAAUAUGGUCUGGAAUGAAAGGUUUGACAAGGAGCAACUUUCUUAACUUUAUUUUUGAAUUUUAAUUAUUAGUAAAAAUGCUAAUGUUAAUCAGGAGGACAAGAAGACCCUAUUGAGCUUUAUAUUUAUUUGUAGAUGAUGGUAUAUUUACACAAAUAUAAUAUUUUGUUGGGGCGACAGCAGAUACUAAACAUCUGUGCGAUUUUUCUUUAAUUUUAGGUUUUUUGAUCCAUUAUUAAUGAUAAAAGACUAAGUUACCUUAGGGAUAACAGCGUAAUUUUAUUUUAGAGUUCAUAUCGACAAUAAAGAUUGCGACCUCGAUGUUGGAUUAGAAUUCCCUUAUUAGGCGCAGGAGUUUAUAAGGGUAGUCUGUUCGACUAUUAAAUUUCUACA